rnacentral:rRNA from 1 species
UACGGGGGGGGCAAGCGUUGUUCGGAAUUACUGGGCGUAAAGGGCUCGUAGGCGGCCAACUAAGUCGGAUGUGAAAUCCCCAGGCUUAACCUGGGAACUGCAUCUGUGACUGCAUAGCUAGAGUACGGUAGAGGGGGAUGGAAUUCCGCGUGUAGCAGUGAAAUGCGUAGAUAUGCGGAGGAACACCGAUGGCGAAGGCAAUCCCCUGGACCUGUACUGACGCUCAUGCACGAAAGCGUGGGGAGCAAACAGG